UCACCACACCUACUCACUACUACGCAAGUAGUAGUGGAUAUCGCUACUACCGACCGAUCAGCUGUUCACACACUACACACCACACACGCACAUAACCGCAUUAUAGUAUAAUUAAACAUUGUAUUGUGCAAUAAUCUACUGAUUUGUGUUUGGUGAAACAAGUUUUUUUUGUUAGUUGAAUAUAUACAUAUAUAAAUUUGAUAUAGACGUUUUUGGUUUUGUUUUAAAAUCGUUACGGCAAAUUUAAAGUUUAAAAAAACUCAAAUAGUUUUUUAUUCAUAUUUUUUCUUUUCACUAAUUGCGAGGAUCAAUUUUUUAAGCUACUAAUUAGCUACUAAAGAUAUUUUAUUGUGAUUCAUUGCUACUAAUUAGCUACCGUAUUCUAGUCAGUUGUUAGAUUUAAAUUUGUGUUACCAAAAAUUGUAUUUAGUUAAUUUCAUUUGUUAUUGUUGUGAUACGUGUUUUAGUUUUAGGUAGCAUCUCUGGCCAGCAGCUCUGCGAAUUGCGAAGAAAAAGUUAAGAAGCUAAUUAAAAUAUUUACUCAUAAAAAUUAGAUUGAAUUAACAAAAAACUUUGCAAGUUUAUGAUUAUGAAAAAACUAACAAUGCUUAUGAGAACCUUGGCGAGAUUAAAAUUAAUGAUCAUAUUCGACUCAAUGAAAAUACAGUAACAAUUGGUAACUUAACUGAAAAAAUGAAGGAAGCUAGUGAAAAACAUGUUUUAACUAGUAUUAAAACAACCGGUCGGAUGUGAAGAGGAAGCGUCGCCAUCACUACCCAGUUGUAAAACCGGAGUGCAAUGUGACACGAGUCCGAUCCAUAGGGACAGCUGAUCUACUUGUAGGUUCUCCAGCUCGGUGAAAUCCGGCUUAAUGAUUUUAUCUUGGCUAAAUGGCCUAGAAUGGCCAAUCACCUUUUUACGCUCUACAUUAUCGUGGUGUCCUACGGCGAUACGCGAUGGACGAUUGGGGUAAUUUUGGACUCUUGAUCGACUGGACCGUUGUCGUCCAUUGAUCUACCAUUCUGUAAAAAAAUGAUAUUUUUUUGUUUAUUACAUUACCCACUAAUCCAUCAGUCCUAAGAUUAAUUUUUACAAAAUAUUUUUGUAUUGAUAUUAUUGUUUCUCAGCACAUUUUAUUUUCAUUUUUAUGCAGGCGUACCUAAUUAAAUACAAGAAUAACUUAACUUUAUUAUAUAAUCUCUCUCUAUUAACCAAUUUACAUGAUUGCCUGUGUUUGCUUCAGAUAAUUAAAACUCAUUUCAGGAGAUACGGACAUUUUUGAACAGACGUCAGGUGCUUCCGAUUUUUGGUUUGACUAAAAUCCUCAAAUUUUAAACUAAUCCCUAACAGCACCACACAGAUAAAUUUAUGAUUUGAUUUUUAAAUAAUACGAAAAAAAGAAAACAAGGUUAAUUGAGUAACUCGAGUAGUCAACAGAGCACAUAUUCAGUUUUCCAAUUGGUGUCGAGCCGUUUAUUUAAUAGAAAUGACACCAGAGACACAAUAUUCACUAACUUACAUACAUAGUGUUAGUAAAUGCUAUGUCACGAGUAGUAGGGUGAUUUUUUAUGGGGUUUUUUACAUCAAAAUAAUUAUUUCUAAUUAUCCUAUUGUAAUAAAGUUUAAAAUAUUCAUUUCAAUCUUGUGAUUGUUUUAUUUUUCCAAUCUAAAAAGAAAAAAAUAAAAACAUUAUAUGAGUUUUAAUGAUAAAAAUUAUAAUCGGUUUGAAUAAAUAAUAAAAGAUGAAAUAAACUCGUGAAAUUAAAAAAGUAUCACAUUAUCUGUGUGUUUUUUCCAGUUUUUCUAGUUAUAUAACCGUUUAAACUAAAAAUAAACUGCAUCACAAAACUCCCAGUGAAAUUUCAAAACAAAUUGAUGGGUAACACUAAAGUAAAUUUUUUUUCUAACUCUGAACCCAAAGUUUAGAAGAGGGCACGAAAGUUACAAAAAAUCAAGUGACCACUCAAUUUGUAUGUGAAUUUUGUGGGAAAUACCGUGGUGAUGUUUAUUAUGGAUAAAAAUAAAAUUUAUAGCAGGGUAACUGGAAAACCUCAAUUUUGGAGAUAGGAAAUUUUAGUUUUUGAUUUCGCUAUUUUUAGGUCCUACUGAAUAUCACCCUACUACUCGUGACAUAGCAUUUACUAACACCCUAUAUAAAAGAAAAGAAGAACAACAGAAACAAUCGUCGUAACUCACAAAAGACGGUCAGCUUAAGUUACCGAGUCGUGUCAGCUCUUUAAACCGAGAGAAACCGAUUCGCACACUGUGAAUACUAUAUAUAUACUUUAUGUAUAAAUAUCUAUACGACAGCCUGACGCAAUGGGUCUAGAUGAACGCCAGAACGGAACAGCACGCAUAAUUAGUAAUACACUGUGAGCGCUGGCCUUGACAACCCCCCACCCCUAAAGGGCACGAUGUCCACCGAUUGUCAUAUUCUUAGGUAGACAGCAGAUAUCGAUUGUGUGGCAGCCUAGAGCGGUGCCGUGUCAUAACAAAAAAGCAAUAAUAUUAAUCCAAUAACUUUUUAUUGUUUCAAGAAAAUAAUUAUAAUUUCUAUACACAUGUAGUAUUCAUAAUAGUCAGUGUAUUGGUUUUUAAUACUGCGUCGUCUGAUUCUAAUAUAUUUAUAAUUAUUAAUUCAGGCCCCUAACAGAUUGAAUGUAGUUUUAAUUAUAAAAAAAACCUUUCUAUUUGUUUUUCGCUACAUGUUAAAUAAAGUGUUAAGACUCGAUUGGUUUAUGAUUUAAAGUAUAUUGGUAUAAGUGUAAAAACAUUCAAAUACUACUUAAAUAGUUUACAAAAGAAAACCUGUAUUUAAUUACUCCAAAUAUCCAGGUGUACCUAUUAUCAUAUUUUCCCUUUUGAAUAUUCAUGUAAUAUUAUUAAUUUAAUAAAUAUUUUCGUUUCGAAAAUGUAAAUAUAUAUCUAUAUACAAUCAGAUAGCAAUUUAAAAAAAAAUGAUAUCUGGUACAAAAUAUAUAAUAGCCACUAUACUAUAUUUUAAUACUAUGUCGUCUAAUUCUAAUAUAUUUUUAAUUAUUGAUUAAAAGUAAAUGUCACAUUGAAAAAUUUUCUAUUCGCUAUUCUCCGUUACAUAUAAAGUAUUAAGACUCAAUUUAUCUAUGAUUUAAAAUAUUAACUUUAAAUAAAGAAUAAACAAUGAUCUAUAAGGCCAAGAGCUAUUUUUGUUUUAUUUUUUUAGAUAUGAGAUUGUUGCAAAAAUCAAGAAAAUAUGUACUUUAUAAAAUAUAACAUAUUUAAAAUUAGAUGUAGUCUUUACAAAUAAAAUACCUAUGUUACCUGAUUCAUAAAGUACUAUAAAAUAGCAUUUUAUAUACAUUUUAAUUUUAUUAAAGUAUUUAAACUUUAGUAUAGUAAAUCUAUAUAAAAACCAAUAAUGAAUAUUUUGCUAAUAAUCAUAAUUUUAAUUACUUCAUUUUACACUUCUUUGUGUUACACAAAUGAAGAAAUGGUUAAGAAGUUGAAUAAAAUUUUUACUCAUAAAAAUUGGAUUGAGUUGACCAAAGAUUUGGAAAUUUAUAAUUAUAAAGAAACUAACAAUGUCUAUGAGAAACUUGAUAAAAUUAACAUUAGUGAUCAUAUUCGACCCAAUGAAAAUACAGUAACUAUUGAAAAUUUAACUGAAAAAAUGAAGAUUGGUUGAAUAAUAUUGAGUUCAAUUUACUACGCAAUUGUUAUAGAUUUCAAUUUGUUAAUUUUGUAUAAAUUUGUAUAAAUACAAAAGAAAAUUUAAAACAUCAAGAUUUAAAAUAUGAACUCUCUCUUUAUUAAAUAUUUAUGACGAAAAAUUUAAAAACUUCAGUGAAGUUAUUAUGCCCAUUAAUAAUACAAUAUAUAAACCAUUGAACCUUGCCCCCAGUUAUUCAAAACGCGAUAUUCCAUACGGUAUAGAUACAUUUUGCACAAAUUUGGGCUUCAAAAUGGGAUUUAUGAAACAAACUAAAAUUUUACUCCAGAAAAGUAUGCACUUUUAAUAAUUUGUGUCAAACUGUUUAAAUUACCUCUAGACUUUAUUAACUCAGAAUACUAGAUUAUUUUAAAGUAGGUGAUUAACUAACAUUUAUAAACAUUCAAAUUUCAUAAUUAAAUAAUGUUAAAAAAAUUUAAUAAUUUAAUUAAAAAAGUCAUAGUGUAACAAUUUCUA